GGGGCCGUUUUGGUUUUGACAGCAAAAGCCACGGUUGGUGUAAGCAUGCAGUGCGUUGGAUAAUUAGCACUUUAAUCUGAAUGCCAUGGCUGCCUAAUCAGUGAUUAAGUAGUCAUUUGGGCCGCCGCACAGGUUCGCUUCUUACCAGGUGCCGCCGCCGACUCAAAACAAAAGAAGCUGCUGUUGUUAUAGGCUGUGCCAACAACUCAAGACCAUGCAGCUAAACGGCCGAUGGGUUGGUUCCCUUCCGGUUGUGCCGUCGACAACCAAUAGGGAAAUAAGCAUGUAGAAAGCUAAUGGUAGCCUUGUUUGGACACCGGUUCGAGUCCGGUCGGCUCCACAA
rnacentral:tmRNA from 1 species